UGCGGCUCGUCCUUCUACAUUUCUUGGUCCCCUGACCGGGAAUCGAGGUAACUGAGGGAUGGCCGAGGUAGCCCCUUAGGCAGCUUAGGCCUGCCCUGUGGAGCAUCCCUGCAGGGGACUCUGGCCAGCCUGAGUGACGUGAUCCAAAGAGCACUCCUGGGUAGAAAAUUGCCUGGGUGGAACGCCUCACCAGAACAGCACGUAGCAGGCCCCUGUGGAGGAUUAACACAGUGGCUGAACACCGGGAAGGAACUGGCACUUGGAGUCCGGACAUCUGAAACUUGGACUGUGAAUGCAGCCCGUGAAAAAGAGGGUUUUCGGAAGCUUGACAUUUAUG
rnacentral:lncRNA from 1 species